UACAGGGGGGGCAAGCGUUGUUCGGAAUUACUGGGCGUAAAGGGCCAGUAGGCGGCCAACUAAGUCACACGUGAAAUCCCCGGGCUUAACCCGGGAACUGCGUGUGAUACUGGAUGGCUUGAAUUCGGGAGAGGGAUGCAGAAUUCCAGGUGUAGCGGUGAAAUGCGUAGAUAUCAGGAGGAACACCGGUGGCGAAGGCGGGUCUCUGGGCCGAUACUGACGCUGAGGAGCGAAAGCGUGGGGAGCGAACAGG
rnacentral:rRNA from 1 species